rnacentral:rRNA from 1 species
ACGGCUCAGUAACACGUAGUCAACCUACCCUAAGGACGGGGACAACCAUGGGAAACUAUGGCUAAUACCCGAUAGGAAAUUCGGCCUGGAACGGUGUCUUUUCUAAAACCGGCUAGCCGUUAGACACGGGCCUUAGGAUGGGGCUGCGGCCGAUUAUGCUAGAUGGCGGUGUAAAGGACCACCAUGGCUACGAUCGGUAUGGGCGAUGGAAGUCGGAGCCCAGAGUCGGCUACUGAGACAAGGAGCCGAGCUUUACGAAGCUUAGCGGUCGCGAAAACUCGCCAAUGCACGAAAGUGUGAGUGGGCUACUCCAAGUGACAUUCUUACGGAUGUCUGUCGCUCAGUCUUACCAGCUGAGAAAGGAAGGAGAGGGCAAGGCUGGUGCCAGCCGCCGCGGUAAAACCAGCUCUUCGAGUGGUCAGGACGAAUAUUGGGUCUAAAGCGCUCGUAGCCGGACAAGUAGGUUCUUGGUUAAACCCGACAGCAUAACUGUUGGCAUGCUGGGAAUACCGCUAGUCUUGGAAGCGGGAGAGGACAGAGGUAGUCAUAGGGCAGGGGUGAAAUCCAGUGAUCCUAUGGCGACCACCGAUGGCGAAGGCAUCUGUCUGGAGCGUAUUCGACGGUGAGGGGCGAAAGCUAGGGGAGCGACCCGGAUUAGAUACCCGGUUAGUCCUAGCCGUAAACGAUGCGGACUAGGUGUUACGGCGGCCAAGAGCCACCGUAGUGCCACAGCGAAGGCGUUAAGUCCGCCACCUGGGGAGUACGGAUGCAAGUCUGAACUUAAAGGAAUUGACGGGGGCGCACCACCAGGAGUGAAGCCUGCGGUUUAAUUGGGGUCAACGCCGGG